rnacentral:rRNA from 1 species
AGAGCGAACGCUGGCGGCAGGCCUAACACAUGCAAGUCGAGCGCCCGUAGCAAUACGGGAGCGGCAGACGGGAUAGUAACACGUGGGAACGCGCCCUUCGGUUCGGAAUAACUCAGGGAAACUUGAGCUAAUACCGAAUACGCCCUUACGGGGAAAGAUUUAUUGCCGAAGGAACGGCCCGCGUCCGAUUAGCUAGUUGGUGAGGUAAUGGCUCACCAAGGCUACGAUCGGUAGCUGGUCUGAGAGGAUGACCAGCAUCACUGGGACUGAGACACGGCCCAGACUCCUACGGGAGGCAGCAGUGGGGAAUAUGGACAAUGGGCGCAAGCCUGAUCCAGCCAUGCCGCGUGGAUGAUGAAGGCCUUAGGGUUGUAAAGUCCUUUUAACGGGGAAGAUAAUGACGGUACCCGUAGAAUAAGCCCGGCUAACGUUCGUGCCAGCAGCCGC